rnacentral:sRNA from 10 species
UAUGAAAGUCCCAGACGGCAGCCAAGAAUGAGCCAUGCUUUGCAUGAGCGAAUUCUUGGAUAUCGGAUGGGCUAGACCGUAUGAGUAAGUAGGGCGAUAGCCCGGAUUACGAAUGCGGUCGGCAGCUGUGGGAGCGCCUAUAGGCGCGGAACAGCUGACUUUCAUA